CACGAGUACAUACGAGUAACACACAGGUACAUACGAGUACAUACGAGUAACACACAAGUACAUACGAGUAACAUACGAGUACAUACGAGUAACAUACGAGUAACACACGAGUACAUACGAGUAAAACACAAGUACAUACGAGUACAUACGAGUAGAAUACGAGUAAAAUACGACUAGUAAACUUGUUUUUAGUGUUUGUAGAUUGAAUACAGGCAAAAAGAUCGUCUUCUCUGUCGAAAAACGUGAAAUAGACUGAAACCGGCUAUCUUUAAAACCCGGAACGGGGAAUGGGGGGACGGGGAAUGGGAGAACGGGAAGUGGGGGAACGGAGGGAAUGGAGGGGCGAGGGAGGAAAUAGGAGACAGGGGCGGGGGAGGUCUGCCAGAUUCUAUAAACCACAACUUUGUAGUUUGUACAACAUCUACUUUUAGGUAUUCUACCUAGAUAGUUAGAUACAUGACACAAACCAUAGGCUUCACAUACUUCACGGCAUGGUUUGCUUUCAAAACCCUGUGUGCAUGCACAAAACCUAACUCACUAACUGCAUCUACUUAAAAUAGUACUAGGUGAUAAACUUACAAUCCUCACAUAGCCUCAAUCACAACAUGUGGCUAGGCAAAUAUACGAACUACACAGUUAACUUAUACCGUGACGACAUACGACAGUUCCGAGACCGAAAUACAGGACAACAGGGCCUUUUUUAAGGAUUUUCCCGUGGGGGGUAUUUUUUGAAAAGGGAUCUUAGAUAAUAUAUUAGAGGGGGAUAGCAAUGGCCGACGGCCACGGUGUGUGGCCGACAUACUUCCCCAGAAAAUGUUUUAAAUUUGAACCUUUCAAAUACCAUUUCCUGCUUUAUGAGCGUCUAAAUUUGCUCUAAAAUUUAUGCUAAUUAUAUACUUGUAUUUGAAAUAAAAGAAGGAAAAAAUGCAGAAAAAAUAAAAGAAAUAUUAAAGGUGAUCUACAGUCCGAUCUGCGCAUGUGCACAAAUGAGUCCACUUUUUAUGAUACAAACAGUUUAACUAUGUUUUGAGUUCUUGAAAAGCCUGAUUGUUGUUUCUUGAUCAUUUAUUAUACUCUAGAAGCUUGAAAAUAUAAAUAGUUGUCGAAUAAAGCUCAAUAUUUUGGACACAAAAAUGUAAACAAAGACUUUGUUUACAUACGGACUGUAGAUCGAUCACCUUUAACAAUAAUUUAUCCAUUACUUAUUAUUAAAGGGGAUAGCAAUGGCCGUGGGUCACGUGUGUGGCCGACAUACCGCGAAUGAAUAGGGGGGUCUGGAGGCAUUAACUCCCCAGAAAAUUUUUGAAAUUUCAAGCCCAAAAAUGCCAUUUCCUGCCGUCUGAGCAUCUAAAUUUUCUAGAAUUUAUCCUAACUAUACUUCUAUUUGAAAUAAAAGAAGGAAAAAA